CUACAAUGACUGUUUAAAUAGAGGGGUCUUAAGUGGGUAUAUGUGGCAUAUUUCAGACCGUAUAUUUUAUCGCCAAGUCACUUAGUACACUAAUUUUCUUGCCACAAUGUCUGGCUCACACACCUUGCAAAAUAUAAAAAUACUUUCCAUAGUAUUUUCCAGUAUAUUAAGGUUAUGCACUCACCCUCUUGGCCAAUGCCCCAAUGUAGAAGUCGUGUAAAAAUGCAAUUUAGAGCCACAUCGAUUAUUAAUGCGGGAAAUCAUCGAAAUCUUGAUCACUUGCUAUCAAAAUCUCAAUGUUUUCAAAAAUAUAAAAAAAAGGAAUGUAAAAAUAUGCAUAACGGGGGUUUUUCACACUGGCGCUUCCAUGGGGCUUAUAUGGAAAAGAACGGGCCAACAAUUUUGAAAAGUACACAUAUUCCCCUUUAUAAAAAUCAUUUUAAUAUGUAGCAAAUGGGUAGUUACCAUGUAAAGAAAUAAACUUAGUGGAAAUUGUUGACAUUUUUUAUUGAAACCUUAUUUUAUAAACAAUGCCAAUAAAGAUGGUACUUAAAAUUAGCCACUUUUAUAUAAAAUUGAUUAGAUUAUCGGUUAAAAAUAUGUGUCCAGUGCUGAUAGUCGUUGCUAGCUAGUAUUCAACCGAAAGCAAUUUGAUUCAGCUUGAAUACAAAUAAUACGUCAGUAUAUUUUCGGCAUAUUUUGAAAUUUGUGACGUAUUUUCGGUAUAUUUCUGAGUGUCUGUUUACCAUUGCACGUAUGAAAAUAAAAGUGAAUAAUAAAAAAAGAUUGGUACGGAAGUAUAACAUCAGCAGUCGGUAAAGCCUCAAAACCGCCCUCAUUCGAGCUUGGGCCGAAGUUCCGCCCACAACAACCGAAAAUUUGGUGGCAUCGAUGCCCCGACGACUACAGGCUGUAAUAGAUGCCAAUGGUGGACCAACCAAAUAUUAAAAGUAUAAAAAUUAUUAAUAUUAAGAUUACUUUGAGACUAUAAUACAAAAGCAUAGAGGCUGUAUGUACACUUUUUUCCGUGAACAUUUUAUGUUUUUUCGUUGUAACUUAAGUAUACAUAAUUUUUGUUUAAGUUUUUUUUUCUGAAAUAAUAAUAACUUUAAGUGUCCUAAAUAAUGGCAUACCAACUUUUUUAAUUUUCAUUGCGAAAACCCGAAAUAUUGAAAAAUCGGUGCUGUAUGUUGACUUUUUUCCUUGACUGUAUAAUAAAAUGGAAAUCAAAGUAAUAA